rnacentral:rRNA from 1 species
AGAGUUUGAUCCUGGCUCAGAUUGAACGCUGGCGGCAUGCCUAACACAUGCAAGUCGAACGAGGGUAGCAAUACCUUAGUGGCGGACGGGUGAGGAAUACAUAGGAAUUUGCCCUUAAGUGGGGGAUAGCCCGGGGAAACCCGGAUUAAUACCGCAUGAACUCGUGAGAGCAAAGUCGGGGACCUUCGGGCCUGGCGCUUUUGGAGAAGCCUAUGUCGGAUUAGCUAGUUGGUGAGGUAAUGGCUCACCAAGGCUGCGAUCCGUAACUGGUCUGAGAGGAUGAUCAGUCACACCGGAACUGAGACACGGUCCGGACUCCUACGGGAGGCAGCAGUGGGGAAUAUUGGACAAUGGGCGAAAGCCUGAUCCAGCAAUGCCGCGUGUGUGAAGAAGGCCUUCGGGUUGUAAAGCACUUUAGGCUGGAAAGAAAAAGCUUUGGCUAAUAUCCAAAGCCUUGACGGUACCAGCAGAAUAAGCACCGGCUAACUCUGUGCCAGCAGCCGCGGUAAUACAGAGGGUGCAAGCGUUAAUCGGAAUUACUGGGCGUAAAGGGAGCGUAGGCGGACAUUUAAGUCAGGGGUGAAAUCCCGGGGCUCAACCUCGGAAUUGCCUUUGAUACUGGGUGUCUUGAGUGUGAGAGAGGUAUGUGGAACUCCGAGUGUAGAGGUGAAAUUCGUAGAUAUUCGGAAGAACACCAGUGGCGAAGGCGACAUACUGGCUCAUUACUGACGCUGAGGCUCGAAAGCGUGGGGAGCAAACAGGAUUAGAUACCCUGGUAGUCC